GAAAUGCGAUACGUAAUGUGAAUUGCAGAAUUCAGUGAAUCAUCGAAUCUUUGAACGCAAAUUGCGCUCCAUGGCAUCCCGUGGAGCAUACCUGGUUGAGUAUCAUUAAACCACCUCAUCCAAAUUCCAAUUUUGGAUGGACAUGAGGGUCUCAGCUUCUCCGGAGACUGCGUCCCUUUAAGUACAGAGAUGUGCGCCAUAAAGCUUAUGUCGUACAAAUGAUGUGGUAAUUGUUUAAACAAAAACUCAUCAUUUGACAUACAGCAUUUGUGCCUGCAUCCAACACCUCUCUUUUUGAGAGAAUCAUUGGGAAAAAACUCUUGCAGUUUUAACCCUUUGAAUCCUUGAUCUCAACUCAGGUAAGAUUACCCGCUGAACUUAA
rnacentral:misc_RNA from 1 species